AGGAGGAGGGAGCUGACGAUGAUCUGUGGCUAGGGCACUGCGGAAUGAAGAAAUGGAAGGGAGCAGAGGCGGAGGAGCUGCAGAUGGACGGGCAUGGGAGGUUGCUGGGUUUUUGAAAGAGGGUGGAGCCGGACGCGAUCACAGGAUGCUUCAUGGCUGAAAAGGAAUGGGGCGCAUGAUCCUUGGGGCGGACUGCAUGCAAGGCUGGAUCAAGGAGGAGAUGGUGCUGCAUCACAGGCUGAAGAAAAGGUGCUUGAUCGACGGGAGGAAGAAGACGUGGUGGAGACGCGCUGGCAGCGACGCGGAGGGCUGGGAUCUUGAUCACGGAAGAGCUGUGGUCAGCCGUGACCGAUGGAGCGGGCGUGGGACGCUGGGAGCUGACUCGGCUG
rnacentral:lncRNA from 1 species